GAGUCUUCCGCAUGCCUUUGGCUGUGGUACUCUGAAAAUCCUCCCGCUGCCUAUGCUUCAAUGAUUUUUGCAAUGGUUUAGAGAGCAUUCAGUUGCUAUCGACUGGAAAUGCAUAAUCAAAGAGCAUGUGGUUAGUGAGUUAACUUUGCUGGUCUUUUGCUUUCCUAUGAUUGAUGUACUGGUUUAGAGGGCAUUUAAUUGCUGUCGACUGGAAGUGCACAAUCAAUUAUGGUAUAAGCUAAUCAGUUUUUGGUCUUGUUUGUUAAAUAAGCAUUUGCUGAGACACUCCACCCUCUUCUCAAAACGAAUGUGUUGAGCCCAGAGCCAAUAUUCUUUAAUUUUGGGUUAAAUAUUCUUUUAAGAUAAUCUUGUAUUAGACUGCUAUAUUUUCUAAUCAUUUUCUUUCCUAACUCUGUUUUUCAGAAAUGGAGUUUUUUCUAACCAUGGAGCCAAGAACAAGAAGAACAUCAUAAAUUCCAGGGAGCGUAGAAGAGUCCCAAUCUGGUUUUACAUUGGAAGUUUAGUUAGCUAUGACCAUAGAGCUCCUAUGUUUUCAAGACUUUAUUGAAUCUAUACAUCUUGCAAUAGUUGAAAACUUUCUUCGUCAUAAAUCUUAUUGUGGUCAUAAUAUUAUUAUUUUCUUCUAAUCAAGAAGGGGUAUACCCCACCCACCUACCAACUCCCAUACUCUGGAGUUGUUAACAGAUACGUUUUACAGGGGUGCAGUAAUCACCCAUGCCCCAACUCCCAUUCUGUGGGAUAUCGAAAGAAAGGUGGUAAAAUCUACUUAUAUGAAUGGAAUAACCAGUGCGUGGUUAUAGUGGUUUCAUCUUUUCUCCAUGGCAUUGACAGACAUGGCGGUGAGAAUGUGAAAUAAUCUCUGAUUUUGUGCCAGUCUUUAGAGCCCCAGCAUCACAUUGCAGAACAGUCUCUUAACGCUCCCACCUUUGUUUUUCUCUCUUGAAAGGCAUUGUUUUAUUUACAAACUGAUUUGGUUUUUGCUUUGGGAAUUUCAAACAAUAUGAAAAGAAUCGCUGCUACAGUUGAAGGCUGAUAAAGGUUUUAGUAUGUGUGCUUCAAAAAUAUAAGAUAUGCAGUUUUAUCCACAAGGAACCAAGAGCAAGAGACAAACUUCAUUUGACAAAGAAGGUUGAGGAAUUUUGCAAGACUGCAGCAUUCGAUUUGUUCUCAGAAAGUGGUGACAUUUAGGAGGUGCUCAGUUAUCCCACCUACAUGCUUGCAUACUCUCAACUAAUUAAGAAAGCAUGCUACUGAUAUGAAUGGAAUAAUUCAUCCUGGCCCUCAUGACUUCAUUUCUAUUCAAGAUAUUGGCAGAUUUAUUUACUUAUGGGGUGAGGAUCUUUGAUUACGUGUAGGAGAAAGGAGAAAGGAUCAGCUACAAAGGGGCACCUACUAGGCA